UCACUGAAACUCUAGAGAGAGAAACUAUAGAGAGAGUUCUUCUUCUAUAAUCUUGAGCAUAUUUCUUUAGAGUUUAAGAAAGCUUUGAGCGUAGUGCAAGUUUUUUUUGAGUAUAUCCUCGCCCUACUAGUCAAAAUACUCUUCUUUUACGGUAGGGAAGAUUAUUUGUUGUACUCGUAGGGAAUAUUAUUUGUUGUACUCGUAGGGGAUAUUAUUUGUUGUACCCAUAAGGGGUAUUCUUUCUUUCUUAUUCGUGAAGAGAACUUAUGUUAUUCCAUUCUUUAUUAGUAUGUUGGAAUAACCUGUAUACGCGGGCUACCCUAUACUUUGUGAAAUUCUUCUGUUAUUCCAUGCUUAUUAUUAUGUUGGAAUAACCUGUCUAUGCGAAGUACUGCAUACAUGGUGAAAUUCUUCUAUUAUUCCAUUCUUUAUUAUUCUGUCGGAAUAUCUUGUCUGUGCGUUUACGCAUGACCUGGUUCCAUUAUUUAUUAUUCUGUUGGAAUAACCUGUCUGUGCGAUCUAUCGCAUGCAUGGUGAAUUCUGUUAUUCCAUUCUUAUUUAUUCUGUUGGAAUAUCCUAUCUGUGCGAUUACGCAUGACAUGGUUCCAUUAUUUAUUAUUAUGUUUGAAUAACCUGUCUGUGCGGAUUACGCACGCAUGGUGAAAUUCUUCUGUUAUUCCAUUCUUUAUUAUUAUGUUGGAAUAACCUGUCUAUGCGAAGUACUGCAUACAUGGUGAAAUUCUUUUAUUAUUCCAUUCUUUAUUAUACUGUUGGUUAUUAGUUUUACAGUUGUAUGUCUUUGGCCUGUAGUGCAAAGAUGAUAUGUUGUUGAAUAUCUUUGGCCUGUAGUGCAAUGAUGAUCUGUUGUUUUAUAGCUUUGACCCAUAGUGCGAAGAUGGACAGGUGUAUGACAUGAUCAUGACUGCUAGUGAUACUAACGAAUAUCCUUGGCUGUAGUGCAUGGAUAAUUCAAUGAUGUGAUUGGCAGGAUCAUGACCAUUAGUUAACAGUUGAAUGUC
rnacentral:lncRNA from 1 species